rnacentral:rRNA from 1 species
GACCAGACUCCUACGGGAGGCAGCAGUGGGGAAUAUUGCACAAUGGGGGAAACCCUGAUGCAGCGACGCCGCGUGAGCGAUGAAGUAUUUCGGUAUGUAAAGCUCUAUCAGCAGGGAAGAAAAUGACGGUACCUGACUAAGAAGCCCCGGCUAACUACGUGCCAGCAGCCGCGGUAAUACGUAGGGGGCAAGCGUUAUCCGGAUUUACUGGGUGUAAAGGGAGCGUAGACGGCUGUGCAAGCCAGAUGUGAAAGCCCGGGGCUCAACCCCGGGACUGCAUUUGGAACUGUGUGGCUGGAGUGUCGGAGAGGCAGGCGGAAUUCCUAGUGUAGUGGUGAAAUGCGUAGAUAUUAGGAGGAACACCAGUGGCGAAGGCGGCCUGCUGGACGAUGACUGACGUUGAGGCUCGAAAGCGUGGGGAGCAAACAGGAUUAGAUACCCCUGUAA